CUAGUUGUAUUAACUAUUAGUUAUUACCAGAUCGACUAUGUCGACUAAAGUUCUAGGUAGAAUAAUGAUGAUGACUAUUUUCUACCUAUAUGUCUUGACCAAAUCUCGUGCCAGCAGUCGCGGUAAUACGUGAAAGACUAGUGUUAUUCAUCUUAAAUAGGUUUAAAGGGUACCUAGACGGUUUAUCUAGCCCAAAACAGGGUACGGAUUUUCUAUAGUUUUAUGUGAGGAGGGGAGUACUCUUAAAGUAGAGAUGAUAUUUUGUGAUACUAUGAGGAAGCUGGUGGCGGCGAAAGCAACCUUCUAUGUAUAAACUGACGUUGAGGGACGAAGGCUUGGGUAGCAAAUAGGAUUAAAUACCCUAGUAUUCCAAGCAGACAAUUCUGAAUGCCAUAGAUUAAAUUUUUUUGGUCUAUAAAUGAAAGUGUAAGCAUUCCACCUUACGAGUAAUGUGGCAACACAGGAACUGAAAUCAUUAAACCGUUUCUGAAACCAGUAGUGAAGUAUGUUAUUUAAUUUGAUAGUCCUCAAAAAGCCUUACCACAACUUGAAUGUUAUUUAAUUAAUACAAGCGUUGCACGGCUGUCUUCAUUUAAUGUCGUGAGAUUUUGGUUAACUCCCUUAAUUAACGUAAACCCAUACUUUAUUUUUA
rnacentral:rRNA from 1 species